rnacentral:rRNA from 1 species
UGCAAGUCGAACGCAAUCUUUUAACAAUGAGUGCUUGCACUCAGCGUUUUAAGUGCGAGUGGCGAACGGGUGAGUAACACGUGGGCAAUCUGCCCAAAAGUGGGGGAUAACACUUGGAAACAGGUGCUAAUACCGCAUCAACCGGCUGACCGCAUGGUCGGCCGGGCAAAGACGGCGUCAGCUGUCGCUUUUGGAUGAGCCCGCGGCGUAUUAACUAGUUGGUAAGGUAACGGCUUACCAAGGCGAUGAUGCAUAGCCGAGUUGAGAGACUGAUCGGCCACAAUGGGACUGAGACACGGCCCAUACUCCUACGGGAGGCAGCAGUAGGGAAUCUUCCACAAUGGGCGCAAGCCUGAUGGAGCAACGCCGCGUGUGUGAUGAAGGGUUUCGGCUCGUAAAACACUGUUGCCGGGGAAGAACAAGUGCCGUUCGAACAGGGCGGCGCCUUGACGGUACCCGGCCAGAAAGCCACGGCUAACUAC